UACGUAGGGUGCAGGCGUUAAUCGGAAUUACUGGGCGUAAAGCGUGCGCAGGCGGUUUUAUAAGCCAGAUGUGAAAGCCCCGGGCUCAACCUGGGAAUGGCAUUUGGGACUGUAAGGCUGGAGUAUGGCAGAGGGGACUAGAAUUCCUGGUGUAGCAGUGAAAUGCGUAGAUAUCAGGAGGAAUACCGAUGGCGAAGGCAGGUCCCUGGGCCAAUACUGACGCUCAUGCACGAAAGCGUGGGGAGCAAACAGG
rnacentral:rRNA from 1 species